UAUACAUAUCAAUUUGCACUUGUUUGGAAAAGUUCCGCAAUUCAUGAAUAUUAUCGCAAAUUAACGCCUUUUUAAUUCCACUCCCUCUGACGUAAAAACACAAUGGCUUCUGUAAAUGCAAAAUUCAAUGCGUCAAAUGGAUAUUCUCAGGGUUUUUUGUCUGCUCACUUAGCGAAGAAUUAUGUCCGAAUUAAAAAAUAUUAAAGCGACUGUUGGGAAUUGGGACUGCUAUAACACUGUGUGAAAUUAGGGGUUGAUCUUCAUAAACUUUCAAUCCUCUGUUGUAAAUAAUUCUGAGUGUGGGAAUAAUAACUUCAUUGCUGGUUAUAUAAUUUGAGGGUGAGUGAACGAGGGUGAGAGUCAAGUGCGAAUCAUGAGUAGGAGGGGAGAUAAUGUAUAUAUACGAUCGCGGCGCCAAUUCUUAAUUCAUUUGGUUUAUAGCAAGCGAACAACGAUGUCGGUUAGAAAGUUCUUAACUUCGACUGGACACAAUUGCCUUAAGAUGUUGAAAUAUUGGUCCACUACGAUACAAAACCGAUGCCAUAGAAAAAAGUUUUAUAACUCAACGUUUUCGAUUUCUACACAUGAACGAGGAAGUAUUUCCACUGAAGUUACCGUUUUGGAUUUUGAUACCACACCCUGUGUAUGUCAAAACUAUCAGAAGGAAAGAGCUCAGAACGAAUUGAAUGAAAAUAUUGAGCUACGGUGGAGAUACAACUACUACUAGAUAUAUUCUUAUAAAUAUGUAAAUAUUUUCAAAAGGCUGUGAUUAUUGAAUACUUUUGUAAAUACUUAGCUAUUAAAGGAUAAUUUAUAAUAAAAAUGUUUUUCUGA